GCUGUGUGACCUUGGGUAUCAGUUCCCAUGUGGCAGGUGGGCCAAAGGGCAGCACCCCUACCUCAUGGGUGAGCAUUAAGUGAGACAAUGAUGUGGAGCACCUGGCACAAUGACUGGAACACAUGAUGUUCCACAAAUAAUCGUUAUCACUGCAGCAUUAUAACAACAUCUCUCUUCUUAUUUAAUUCAUACAAGUCCACUGAGAGACAUUAAUCAUAAACAAUAUCUUAUAGUGUACUUUCAAACCCUUUCUGUUAAACAUCUGAAUAAAAUUAUGAAUAAAACUGCCUAGGCCCAGGUCGGUGGCUCAUGCCUGUAAUCCCAGGACUUUUGGAGGCCAAGUAGGGUGGAUCAGCUGAGGUCAGGAUUCUGAUUCUUCUUUCUCAAAACUGUAGCUAGGUAUAAAAAUAGUGGAGUUCUGCAAAUCGAAGUUUUAAAAAAGGCAUUUCCAUGAGGCAGGUGACCAUGUGAUCCAAUGUAGAGGUGAGAGACAACAGGUUUAUAUAAUUAAUAUUUUCAGUGUAGACAGGAUCUCUGACAAAAAAUAAAAGAUGUCCAAAAUGCUGGAUAAGAACUGUUUAGCAUUCCACUCUCUUACUAAAAGGAUAUGCUUGCUGAGAAAAAUGUUUACUUCUUUGCAAGAAUAUUUUGAUACUUGUAUUUACAAUGGCAGAAAAAUAACUUAACGUUUAAAAAUGUAAUAUAAUGUAAUACACUGUGUCUUCAAUAUACCCAAAAAAGUUAGAACCCAAAAACCCAGAAGCUGAUCAACAGCAAUUUAAAAGCAGUAAAGAAUUACUUCACACAAAGUCCUUAAGAAGGAAGAUCAAACUUCUGCAGAAUUUUGACAGAGCCUGCCCGUCAAAUCCGUUUACCUGUAAGGCUGCUUCUAUGCAAUGCUGAAAUUCUCCAAAUUUCCUCUAAUGUUUCCUGAAAACAAGUUUUUCUUUUUUUUUUAAAUGGCGUUUGUUGUAAGUCUCCUCCUCCAUUCCUUUUGUUUGCUGAGGUAGCGGUUUCCUUGUAACAUUAAUAAGAGAUGCUUCCAGACUGGGCUGGCCCUCAGUUGUAAAGUCUGAAGCAAGAAUGCACAGAUGUAUUUGUAAGGCUUCUAAGUCCUUUCCU
rnacentral:lncRNA from 10 species